rnacentral:rRNA from 1 species
CAGCAGCCGCGGGAAUACGAAGGGGGCUAGCGUUGUUCGGGAUUACUGGGCGUAAAGCGCACGUAGGCGGACUUUUAAGUCAGGGGUGAAAUUCCGGGGCUCAACCUCGGAACUGCCUUUGAUACUGGAAGUCUUGAGUGUGGAAGAGGUAAGUGGAAUUGCGAGUGUAGAGGUGAAAUUCGUAGAUAUUCGCAGGAACACCAGUGGCGAAGGCGGCUUACUGGUCCACAACUGACGCUGAGGUGCGAAAGCGUGGGGAGCAAACAGGAUUAGAUACCCCCGUAGUCCCUGUCUCUUAUAC